ACAUUUUGAAAGUAUGUUUUUAAAACAUAACCAGAUCCUGUCUGAUCUUGGAAGCUAAGCAGGAUAGGCCUUAGUUAGUAUGUAGAUGGGACACUGCCAAUGAAUACUAGGUGCUGUAGGCU
rnacentral:rRNA from 11 species